rnacentral:rRNA from 1 species
UACGUAGGGUGCAAGCGUUAUCCGGAAUUAUUGGGCGUAAAGAGCUCGUAGGCGGUUUGUCGCGUCUGCUGUGAAAACCCCGAGGCUCAACCUCGGGCCUGCAGUGGGUACGGGCAGACUAGAGUGGCGGUAGGGGAGAUUGGAAUUCCUGGUGUAGCGGUGGAAUGCGCAGAUAGUCAGGAGGAACACCGAUGGCGAAGGCAGAUCUCUGGGCCGUAACUGACGCUGAGGAGCGAAAGCGUGGGGAGCGAACAGG